CUUGACACUGAACAUUGAGCCUUGAUGUGUAGGAUAGGUGGGAGGCUUUGAAGCGUGGACGCCAGUCUGCGUGGAGCCGACCUUGAAAUACCACCCUUUAAUGUUUGAUGUUCUAACGUUGGCCCCUGACCGGGGUUGCGGACAGUGUCUGGUGGGUAGUUUGACUGGGGCGGUCUCCUCCCAAAGCGUAAGGGUGGAGGACGGUC
rnacentral:rRNA from 1 species